ACGACAUCUAAAAUUAUACUUUUAUUCAGAAAAGCACUUUUGAACUUCUAAACACAAUGCCAAAUAGGACAAUAAUUCCUCUCUACCCCAUCUAGAAUUCCAGCAACCCAGUGCCAACUGCCACACAAUUUGCAGCGGCGUGAACCCGCUUGAGACCCAGCCUCAGUGGUCAUACAAUUUAUUACAUCAUGAAAUAGAGACAUCGAUUACCAUAUCAAAUUAUAUGUCUCAAGAGAUAUGUAGUACCAAUAAAACUUUCAUGCUCCAUUAUGAUAUUGUUGACAAUUCGUCUAUUUAUUGACUACAUUAUUUUGUUCACUCAAGAUACUACAUAAUAUUGAGUGGGUUACUACAACCAUGUGUGAUGGAACAGCCCAGCAAAAUUUAGGAAAUUGUUCUUUCUUCAUUUUUCCUUUUCCCAUAAAAACAUCUCAGAUAAGUUGCUGAUUAACUAAAGCUGUCAAUCUAAACAGAUGAUUGAAGUCCAAUGAUGCCUGCCAAAAUCAAUGCCAGAAAUGUCAGGCUUCCGGAUAGAAGUAAAGGUUUACAUGUACCAUAGCCAUAGGUCACACACCCACACUUAAUACAUUUCCAUCUCCUGUCACUCUAAUUUCGCCACUAGAAGCCACUGAAAAAAUUUGCAACAUUAAAAAGGAGAACAAGAAAUAUUACAUCCAACUCUCGCACCAGCAUUACCAGUAGUCUUGCUAAGUUCAUGUCCACCUGAGCAUUAGUUUUUGUAAUUAUGCAUAUGGUCUAAAAGCUCAGAAAAAUAAUCUAAAUAUGGGGCAAUGUAAUAGACAGCCAUUUUAAUAUUGUCAACAAAUUAUGAACAUAAAAAUGCAAGACAAACACACACAAGCAUACAUCUCCAUGAAAGCAUGACUUCAGUCCAAACUGGUAUUCCAGCCUCCUCAAAUGAUUCUUGCUCAUUGGUAGUCCAAAAAUGAGUAACAAGUUCCUUUCUAAACCUAUAAUGUUGCCUCCAAAUAGCCAAUAGCUGAAUCACAGAUGUGACAGAUCGAAGUUUAACUCAAUUGAUCACAAACACCAAAUCACCAUAAACCAGGAAUAUCUUGCCAUACGGACAAUGUCACCUAAAUGAUGAUAAUUUUUCCAUCCUUUUUUGCGCAUAAAGAAUCAAAUAAUAAAAAGUUUUCCUUUCAUCUCAAGCGGCUGAAAUGCUUGUCCUCAAGAAUGCAUUAGAUCAGUAGUGUAAUUUGGAUACGAGGGGUUUUGAAUUGAAUUUUAGUUUUGGUGUCUGUGAUAUACAAAUUUUCUUUGAUUGGAUAGAAUAAUUGAAUGGAGACAGAUUCCUGAAUAUACACAAUAAUUUAUUUAAAGAUGAAUUUGAAGAAACUACUGACAAGGUUUAAUUUCAAAAUAUUUGCAAAAGAUUUAGCUAAAGAAUUUUUUCCCUUUUUUUAUGAGUUCAUUUACUUGCACAACUGGAACUAAAAGGUUCAAAUCUUUAGAUUUCAAAAUUCUAUCCAAUUCACUCUUACCAAAAUUUUUCUACAUAAAAAACCUGAAAUUUAGGACCAUUACCAAAUUACCCUCCUGUGACCCUGUCCAAAUGGAACCAACACUACUAGGUAAUAGUCUAUCUGUAUCGCUUUGUUUUUCUUUUUUUUUUGGAUUUUCUUUCUUCUACAUGCUAUAUUCUUGUAAAAACAACUUUCUUUCUUCAUGCAAAGUCUGGGACAGUGAAAGGUCAGGCCAACAUGGUCAUUCUAAGCUUAGACAUGUUGUAACUGGAUUACAUAUAAUAUGAAUAUGUAUUGGCAAAUAGAAUAUGAGCUCAAUUGAAGGAAUGCCCCUGGAAAACAAUUAGAUAUACCUCAUAAUUAAGUAACUCCACCAAGGUUUAGAAUGCACACAGAAUAUAUAGGAAUGAAAGAAAGUUCUAUCAUGAAGAUGUAAGCUACUUUACCCCAAGGAUGUGAAGCACCACCAAACAAUUAGUUCGUAAGUAAGCAUACCAGAAUAGCGAUUUCUAUGAAAUGCAGUAGGAGACUCACUGAAUGAAAUCUUACAAGCAGAAGCUCACAUAAUAUGGAAAUUUCACCAAUGAUAGUCUAGCAAUUUAUCAAAGCUCAAAGCAACUGACUACAAAAAUGAGAUGAGGCUCAAUUGCUCACUUAUAAGUAUGCCACACCAUAACAUGAUAGAUAUGAGGAUAGCAGAAAGAGGAGCUGUGUUUUGUCAGGUAUUGCCAAGGAUACAUCCUCUGCUAAACUAAUGUCUACAAAGGUCCCAAGAUGCAUGGAAUUAAAUGUAAAAUACAGACAUUUUGAAAAACAUGUAAAACCUAUACCUUUCCCAAGAUCAUCAGGAUCAGCAUGCACAACAACAGCCCUCCCCAAGAUAGAAUGUGGCCCACUCAGUGGUAUCUGCAUGUCCUUAAUUGAAAUCUCAGCAAUUCCAUCUGAUCCAGCAAAAAUGUUGCCCAAAUCCCCUGCAUGACGUUCUUCAUCUGCUGGAGCUCCAUGGUCCUUCUUUAAUGGAUUGAAAUGAGGUCCAGUGGAAUUACAGCCAUUGGUGGUGUCGCCAAGAGCAUGAAUAUGGAAGCCAUGAAGACCUGGUGAUAGGCCUGUUAUCUUCCCCGUGACAUGGGUGGGCCCACUGGGGCGUUGGACGAAUUGAAGAGAGCCUCUAACAUUGGGUUCUCCGGUGAUGAGUGCCACCGCUUUCACAGUACCUGUUGCUGUUGCUGUUGCUGCUCCUGCCAUCUCUAAUAUUUUGUUAAUGUUACCCAGCUAAUUCGUCAUCUCCUCUCUCUGUCCGGCCUAUCUACAAGAAAUUCUGGAGGCGCUUGCUG
rnacentral:misc_RNA from 1 species